rnacentral:rRNA from 1 species
GUGGGGAAUAUUGCACAAUGGGCGCAAGCCUGAUGCAGCCAUGCCGCGUGUGUGAAGAAGGCCUUCGGGUUGUAAAGUACUUUCAGCGGGGAGGAAGGCGAUAAGGUUAAUAACCUUGUCGAUUGACGUUACCCGCAGAAGAAGCACCGGCUAACUCCGUGCCAGCAGCCGCGGUAAUACGGAGGGUGCAAGCGUUAAUCGGAAUUACUGAGCGUAAAGCGCACGCAGGCGGUCUGUCAAGUCGGAUGUGAAAUCCCCGGGCUCAACGUGGGAACUGCAUUCGAAACUGGCAGGAUAGAGUCUUGUAGAGGGGGGUAGAAUUCCAGGUGUAGCGGUGAAAUGCGUAGAGAUCUGGAGGAAUACCGGUGGCGAAGGCGGCCCCCUGGACAAAGACUGACGCUAAGGUGCGAAAGCGUGGGGAGCAAACAGGAUUAGAAACCCUUGUAGUCC